CCCUGCGCGCCGCGCGAUCGCGGGCUCCCGGCCCGGCCGGCCGUAUUUAUAGGUGCGCGCGCCCCGCGCUCGCGCUCCGAAGCGCUCCUUGCAAUAACACAGUAUCACGUGUGGGGAAUGAGACCUGGGAGGAAAACAAAGCCGCAGGCGGAGUCCGCAGCGGCGGGAGGCGACCGUGCAGGAGGAGGUGGAAGAGGAGGAGGAAGGCAGAGCCCGGCGCGUGGCAGGGCGGGGGCUCGCCCGACCGCUCCCCACGGUCCCAGCUGUUCCUGGGGCGCGCGGAAGCCAGGUGCUGGAGGCGAGCACGUCACUCCGGUACGCUCGGGCGGAGAAUCGCGGGUGUCCACAGCCCGAGUAAAUUAAGUAGCGGAGAGCAAGCGUUCGCGGCUCAGGGAUGUGCUGCCAACCCCGACUCCUCCAGAGAUAGGGAAAGGAAGCUGCUCAUGCCUUGGGAUUUUGCAUGUUGUGUGGCGAUCAUCUUUCCAUUUGGAAUAUCCUUCUGUAGCCUCGCCGAUGGCUCCUGGUGCUCGACUAGAUGGAGCAAUGGUAAGUUACUAAACUCCUGCAUUUCUAAGUUUGUUGGCCCCAUUUCUGCCCUCAAGAAAGCAGCAGUGACAAUCUUUCAGUCUUUCUACUAUGAAGCAAGUCUGUCUAUCUGUAGCUAUCUGUGUUUAUUUAUUGCCUUGGGGACUCAGGAUUGCACUCAUCCUAGGCAAGCAUUCCACCACUACGCUUUACCCCAGCUCUCUUUUCUUGUUUCUAAAUUUUGAGACAGGUCUCUGGAAUCUAGGGUGGCCAUGAACUCCUGCCUCAGUUCCCAGACAGCUAGGAUGACAGACCUAUCACAUGAUAUCCCAGACUAUCAUACAAUAUGAACGUUUUUUAGUUUAAAUAUCUUCCAGGGUGGAUGGCACACCCCAUCUUAAGGCCUUCUGUCCAGAGAAGAUCUAAUCUGCCUCCUGAAAUUCUUGGUGGGUAUGAAUAUGUUUUCAGCAAAUCCAUUUAUUUGACCAUUUGAUAUAACUCUGCUUAUUUUAAGUUUCAAGUACGCAAAUUGAUUUCAAAUGUUUAUUAGAUAAUCAAACAGGAAUCGAUGUUUUUUUAGUCUCCAUGUUUCUGUGAUCCCCUGGUGGGGGUCCUGAGAGAUGAUUUAUUGCUCCCUAACUGUGUAUCAGCCAUAGUGUACUGGACCACCGGUAGUGGUGAAGGGGCAUUGUCAUUGACAUUUUAAAGGCAAGACAGAGAGAAAUUGAGUAAAGCUAUCUGGCCAGCACACAGAUCCCACUGGCUCCCAGACCCGUGCAUGUUUCUGCUCCCUCUACUGGUAAGGCUAUUUUAUAGGCAGAGUCAGUCUCCACAUUUCAUCCCAUAUUCAUCCUUGAGAGUCGACUAGAAUAGAAAUACAAACUGUGAGGCCGGGCCGUGGUGGUGCACAUCUUUAAUCCCAGCAUUCGGGAGGCAGAGCUAGGUGGAUCUCUGUGAGUUCCAGGCCAGCCUGAUCUACAAAGUGAGAUCCAAGACAGUCGCAAAGCUACACAGAGAAACCCUGUCUCCAAAAACAAAACAACAAACAAACAAACGAACAAACAGAAAGAAACACAAACUGUGGAGGAAGAGAUCUGGGCUCCUAGGGUAGGUCCUUAACCUCUCUGAACUCAUUUCCUCUCUGGGUUGCUCCGGUUUUCAGAGGAACCCGCACAAGAAAUGUCUGGUAAUCCCUGAUGUACUUUUAAAUGCAAGGCAUCAUUAGCACCAUCCAAAUCUGCUUAGGUCCUGAAUUAUUCCAAAUUCAUUAAUCUUUAACUUUUAGUUGUUGGAUCAUUUAUUAUUGAACAACUUCUAUGUGCCCAGUGCCAGUGUGGGACAAAGGGAUAAAAAAGUGUGGCUUGUAUCUGCUCGUACCCUUGAUGGUUAAAACAGGAAAACAGGAGCUCAAGGACACAUUUAAAGGAAGGGUCUAAGCCAGCCAAUUGCCAAAUGAGCAAGAAUUAGAAUUGGAAAAGGGACUUGGGGGGGGGGGUUGAGUGAGGGUUUCUCUGUGUAGCCCUUGGCUGUCCUGGAACUCGCUCCAUAGGCCAGGCUGGCCUGGAACUCAGAGAUCCACCUGCCUCUGCCUCCUGAGUGCUGGGGUUAAAGGCGUGCGCCACCACUGCCCAGCUUUGAAAAAGGAGCUUUUAAUUUGAAGUGAGACCUGUUAGGGGAGGCAUUAAGCAAGACCAGAAUUUGAGCUGGUCUAGGAAGUUCCUGUGGUCUGGACCCCACAUGUGAUAAAAGGUUUGGAGCUAGGCUGGGUUUUUAGAAGGUCGGCACUGUUGAGAGGAAGGUAGGUCAUUGAGCGCAUGCCCCUGAAAGAUGUGGGAUUCUGACGUUCAUUUAGCAUCCCAACCUUGAGGUGGGUGGCUUUGCUCACCUCAUACCCCACCAUAAUGUGCUGCUUUAUCAUUGGUCCAAAAGCUUUGGGGGCAAUCAUUUAUGACAGAAAGCUUCAAAAUGAUGAACUAAAAUCAACCUUUUUUUAAAAAAUGUAUUUUUAAUGUUUUAUUGUGCACACACAUACGUGUGUGUGUGUGUGUGUGUGUGAGAGAGAGAGAGAGAGAGAGAGAGAGAGAGAGAGAGAGAGAGAGAGAGAGCAUGUAUGUUUCCACCAUGUGGCCUUGGGCAUUAAAUUGAAAUCAUCAGGCUUGGCAGCUGGAGCCUCUGUCUGCUGAACCACCUCUUUUAAAUUUUUUCUCUGUGAGUUGAUUAGCAUUUGUUACAGAAAUAGGUAACCAACUUCAGAGUCUUGCGUUUAAAUCCCUUACGCACUGGAGCCAUACAGGACUAGAAAGUGAAAUACAAUUCUCCCCUCAACCCACCCUCAUUUUCACCUUCGUAUCACCCCUUUUAACGUCUGGAAGCUUCCUUUGCCUCCAUGGACCCAAAAUGCAUGCACUGUUUAGAUCAACAAAUUCGGCACCUGGGCUUUUACACACACACACACACACACACACACACACACACACACACACACACACAAGCAGAACCUGCAUAAAACUGCUGACUCUUAAAAAUAAUCCAGUAAACCAGUAAGUCUGAAAAUUGGCUUAGAAACGGCAGUGGACAUCACUCAGAAGUUGACACAGGAGAAAUAAGUCUUUAGACUCAGAAGCACCCAGGCUCUGGUGUCAGCGCGGGUCCUUAUAAGCAGGUCGCCAGCUUGGACAGGUUCUCAGCUCCCUGUUUUGGUGUCCUGGUGUGUCAAGGUGGGGUUAGUGGCAUUUUACCUUGCAGAGUUAGGAGCGUUGCCGGUGAUGUGAGUUAUGUAACCAGCACCCGGCUGUCUGGCACUCACAGAUAGCUAUUUUUAGAAAGAUGCAAACUAUAGGAGCCUCACAGAAGGGCCAGGAUGCUUUGGGUCGUAGUUGUUUGUGGUUUUCCUCAUGCAGGAAGGAUCAGAAGAGACCCUGGCCAUUGGCUCCAGCAGAUCAGGUUAUUUUACAUUUGUUCCACCAAAGUGGAGCCCUGUCCCUCACUGCUGGGACACAGACUAGUGGGUCUAAAAUUAGAGGCAUGGUGUCCUGAGAAGCCUGCUUUCCCGUGCCCAGUGAAAUGCCCUAAGACAAGAGAGGGGACCUGGGCCCAAGGCCCCAUGCUUUGAGAAGCUGACCUUGCUUGAACAUGUGUGGCCUCUGUUGCCUUGGGAGAAUGGGGACAAAGAGGGAAGACAAGACAACUUGUCGUGGGAAGCUUCACUCCUUUCCUGGUUCUCCCCGGGACUUCUGGGAUGGGAUACAGCAUUGGAGGGAAAUCGGAAGCUGAGGGAUAUUAAAAAGAAGUCACUGGGUAGCACAUAGCCCCAUACAGCAGCUUAUGAGCUGUGACUUGUAGCCCUCAUCCCCAUAUUUCCUAAGUGCCAGUCCCAUGCCAGGUUCUCAACUAGAUUCUGUUACUUCUAGGGCAGGUGAGAAGUGGGCCUAUCCUGGAGCUUCCAGCGGAGAAAUUCAGGGUAGUGUCUGCACUCGGGUGCAGUGAGUGUUGACGAGAAAAGGAAGGAGAAAGUAAGGGGACAACAGGCUCCAUGCCAGCCCCCGGCACGGCUCCCAGGACAGCGCUUCAACCACUGCUACCAAGGCCACUCUCAGGACAGGGAUUCCUCUCUCUCUCUCUCUCUCUCUCUCUCUCUCUCUCUCUCUCUCUCUCUCUCUCUCUCUCCUUCCCUCCCUCCCUCCCUCUUUCUCUCUCUUUUUUUCGUUCGUUCAUUCAUUUUUUCGAGACAGGGUUUCUCUGUGUAGCCCUGACUGUCCUGGAACUCCCUCUGUAGACCAGGCUGGCCUUGAACUCACAACUUUUAAUGAACUCAUUAAAGGCAUGCGCCACCACUGCCCAGCUCAGGCCAGGGCUUCUUAAACUCUUCCAAUCACAACCCCUUUCGCCAAAGAAAUUUUUAUGUGACCAUAGCACACAGGUAUAUAAAAUAUGUACACAAAACAUUUACCGGCAAUAAAUCAUGAAAUUUGUUUAAAACAAUUCUGAUACUCAUAUAAAUUUGCCAUUUAUUAAAGACGACUUUAAAUUUAUGCACUAGCGAUGUAUUUAAAGCUGAGCUCUGUCCGAUAUUUGACAGUACAGGACGCAAAGCGUCUUGGUUAUUUUCAGAGUUGAUUCAUCAGUGCUGAGAACACCACCUCACAUGAACACACAGCACAAAACAGUGGGCGUGGGUGCUGAGGAGACGGUGCGCACUGAGGAGCCGGUGCGUCUGUUAAGAGCACUCGUUGCUCUUGCGAGGACCCAGGUUUGGUUCCCAGCAGCCAGCUGGUGGCUUUCAAUCAUCCCUCAUGCCAACUCCAGGAAAUCCAGCGCCGCCCUCUGACCUCUGUGGGCACCAGGUCUGAGCUGUUUCAGGUAGUGAGCUACUGAUCACUACUGUGUUGCCGGUGAGACCACAUGCAUGGUGACACAUGUGUAUGUUCUGUGUUCAGAAGCAAGGCCUCAGUGAAGUCCCAGGGCAACACAACUGAGCACUAACUCUGCUAGAAAUACUAGAAUCUGUUAGGUGUUUGAUUUUUUAAAUUUUUGGCUAUUGAUCAUUCAGAAACCUGUUUGCAAUCUCCAUGUUCAGUUACUCAAGCCAUUGGGGUUUCAACCCGCAGUUAAGAAGCAGAGGUCUAGGACAGUCAGUAUCUCCCCACUUCCUUCCUUGACUUGACCUCCGAGUCUCUACUUCCUGCCUAAGAACUCAUCAUGUCCUCAUCAACGGCACCAGCAACCUCCAACACUGUUCAAGCACAGGCUCAAACAACGUGGGACCACUGUUUUCUUUAGACACCUGAGGCCUGUGGGGACAGGAAGACAUUGUUGUGGGAGAAUCUUUUUGUACACUGUGAAGAUGUGUCUUUGCUAAGGCACCUCUGACUGGUUUAAUAAAAGAGCUGAACAGCCAAUAGCUAGGCAGGAGAGGAUAGGCGGGACUUCUGGGGAAAGAGAGGAACUCUGGGAAGGAGAGGUGGAAUUUGCCAGUGAGACUCGGAGGGAGUUGGAUGUACGGUAUGGAGGCACAUUGCAGAACAUAGAUUAAUAUAAAUGGGUUAAUUUAAGUUAUAAGAGCCAUGCUUUCAUACUUAAUGAGAUGUCUCUGUGUCAUUAUUUGGGAGCUGGCGGUUUAAAGAAAGUCGACUACACAGUAUUUCACUGCAUUCCCUGUCAAGGACUGUGCACGGCCUUCUGGUUUUUAUGAUUUGUGUGCAAAGGCACUGGGUCUCUCCACUUGAGGAAUGGACAGCUCCAUAACUGAGCAUGGCUGAUUUGUUAAGAGUCAUACUUUAUGUCAGGAAUGGCUCUCAGUGCCCCAUCCACCUGGGGGCAGUUCUGGGCAACCCUUCCUCUCCUCAGUCUUGUUAAAGGACAGAGACAGUGGUGCAGGAGCAUUUAGUCUUCAGUUCCCCUCAGAUUCUUUCCUGGGUGGAGCUCAGCCAGUUGUAGGAGGAAGAGGGACACACAAGACCACCCCUGCUUCAGCCAGCAAUUGGCUGCCCUUCCUGGGUCCCUUAGCUCAGGGCCCCAUGAGCAUCUCCUCAAGUAUAAUAAUUGACUGUGAUGCUCACAGAAAUCAGGGAAAUGCUCAUGUCUUCCAGCUUAUUAAAAGGAUGUUGCCGAGGAUCUCCCUGAACAGCUGAGUGAAGAGGUACACAGGUGACAGGCAGGGCCUUCAUGGGAGCAGAGCAUGCCAUCCUAGCAUGGUGGAGAUGUGUCCCUCAGGCGUGCUGGAUUAACUCUGGUCCCUCUCCCCAGAGGGAAGGGAUGAGGCUCAAAGUUCCAAGCUUCUACUCACCUCAAUGCCACAGAGUGUUCUAUAUUUUAUAGAAUAUAGGAGCUCUGAGUCAAGACUAGGCUCCAAGACCAGAUUAGAGCAAAGUAUGCUUCUAGGCUCCUAUCAAUCAGAGGCUUAUGGGGGAUGGGGAUCUCUGUGCUAGGAACAAGGACCAGAGACCAAAUGUGUGUUUCUUAGUGUACCACACUGCCUCAGGCAUUGACUGCCAUGGAAGAAACCUGGCAGAAAAAACUGUCAGGAGAACUGAUUCAGAUGCUUUUGUGAGGAGGUCCCGGCAGAGUAUUGUUCAUUCCUAGACUCCCUGUGUGGUCAAGAUGCAGAAUUUAAAUGAUAUUUUGAUUGGCAUAAGAAAAUCCACAAGUUUUCUUUCUUCUAUUACCUUUGCACUUAAAAUAUAACAAAGGAAAGCUAGUUUUAUUUUCUUUGAAGUUAGACUGGGACACAUGAAGAGCCAGCUUAUAGACAAUAAGAAGCCCCUUUUGCUGGAAUUACAGCUUGUAAACACAAGACUUCUGGAUGGCCUCUGUGUAUACAUGUGCCUCUGGACACAGACACAUGAACAUAUCACAAGCGCACGCACGUGCGUGCACACACACCCACAUAUACCCCAGCACAAAGUAGGCCAGGCAUGAGUCAAGGCUGCCUCCAGGCCUCUGUGUUCUCCAGCACAGCCAAUCCCUUCUGUUUUUGCAUUUCCUUGGAUUAUUUACACAUCCAAGUGGAAUUGAGGUGUCCAAGUUCUGUGGGAAGUGUUGCCAGUGUGCCUGCUGCUGGGAUGCUCAGCUAGAUGAUGCUUAUCCAUGAUGAUGAUGGCCCAUGGGAGUCCUUUACAGUUGGAUGUACAACUUCCCCGGAGAGGCAACUCACAAAGGUGAGAAGCAGAUGGCUAGCAACCAUCACUUGAGGGAAAGAGGCAGAACAGCGGAAGUGCAGAUCAGAGCAACCUCUAUGAGGAACCAUUUGACAACUGUGUCAGGAGCCUUAAACUGUUGUCAAUGACUGUUGAAUGGGUGGUGCAUGCCUGGAACCUCAGCCUGGAGGCUUCCACAGGAGGAUUAUUAGUUCAAGGUCAGUCUGGCUGCAUGGUAAGAGCCUGGUUCACAACAAAAAGAAACAAAAGAGAAGAAAUAUUCAAGACCGAGCACAUGGGUCUUUGUGGGAAGGAGGUUAACUUCCACUCUUGUUAUGGCAUGAAUAUGACUUGAUCUUGCUGGAACUCAUGUUGGAGUUUAAUUCUCAUUGUGUGGAAUUGAGAGGGUAGAACUUAACCCAGCUAUAGUGUUUAAAGAUGGAGGCUUGGGGCAGGAAAGUUGUCUCAACAGUUAAGAGCACUGGCUACCCUUUCAGAGGAUCUAGCUUUGAUUCCUAGCCCCCACACAGAGGCUCACAACUGACUAUACCGCCAGUUCCCGGGGAUCUGACAUUCUCUGGCCUUGGUAGACAAAUGGUGGACAGACAUUCAUGUAGGCAAAACACCCAAGCAUAUAAAUUAAUAAAAAUGUGAAAUGUAUUUUUUAAAUGGUGGAAUCUUUGAGAGAUGAUUAGGGUUAAAUAAGGCCAUCAGUGUGAGACCCCGAGAGCCAAUCGGUUUAUGAGAAGAGCAUGGCAGGAAGAGGCCUGUGCCUGCUCCCUGUCCCCUGAGCUGUGAUUCCCUGCUUCAAAACUGCCAGCAAGAAGGCCAUCAGCAGAUGCGGCCCCUUGACCUUGGUGCACUGCCAGGAGCCAAAACAAACAUCCCUGUGACUCACCUGGCCUGAGGUAUUAUGCUGUUAGCAAGAGAAAACAGACAAGGAGAGCACACACUCAUGUGUCCAGAGCAUUGCUCUGCUCGUUUGUGCUUUGAUUUUGUCAUCUGUGGGGUGGAAAUGAUACACUCUCUUUCAGAACACUGCUGUGAAGGUUCAGGGUGUCAACCAAAAAGCUUGAAUGCCCUGAGUAUUGGGGAGAGAUGUAGGCACUACCAUAGUUCCCAAAUGUGUAGAGAAAAACAGUCAAAGAUUUAUGCACACAAAUAUCAGUGCUAGCACUGUUUAAGGAAAUAAACUUGAAAACAAAAUGACCAUAUGUGAAAUAUGGAGAAGACAAUGGAAGGUGACAUUGUGCUUCAUGAAAAAGUCUGCACUAAUCUUUCCCACUUGAAAUGAAUGAGACUGUUUAACAAUAAGAGGUGUCUAAGGAUAGAGAACCAGGAGGUCAAAACACUAACUAGUAGGGAUACAGCAACUUUCACUUGUCUCUUUUUGCUUAUAUGAAUAGAAAUAAGUGCAUGGUCAUAUGAUAUUUUAAACAAGAAGUGACAUGCUUGUUGAAAACCUAAUUGGAAGAGCAUCAAUUUGGCCACAUGCAGAAGGGAUUAAAGAGAAACCUGGAGGAACAAGGAGGGUAUGCAUUCAUUCUUAAUUCAAUGCCUGCUCUGUAUCCACACCGCUGCACAAAGGACCCAGGCUCUACAGAGUUAGGCAAGCAGAGGGAGCAAGGGCAGGCUAGCUCUGUUUCCAUACACACAGUUUCUUUGCAUCAGCCACAGCCUGCUCUCUGCCCUCUAUGAGAUGAAGUCAGGGCUCUACAAAGCUAAGUGUGGUGAUGAUGCACCUCAGGUCACACAGUUGACAACUGGAAAGGCAGCCUGUGUUGUCUUAGCAGAGCUUUGUGUCAGGGACUACGGGCUAUGACUCCUAGGGGCCAAAAAGGCCCCAUAGGGAGAGUCCUAUCUGAACUUAGACCCAGUUUACCUAUGAGACAAGGGCGAAAACAUAACGUCUACCACGACUGCUCAGGCCCAAGGCAGUAAAACUUGGACUUGGCAGUGAGAAUGGAAAAGAAGGGUCAAGGUUCAGAGGCAUCAUGAGGAAAAACUGGCUUCAGGCUCUGCAACCUGGGGAGCAGCAGUAACUCCCCAAAGGACUAAGGGUUCCAGGAAAGAAGGACAGAUUUCAGGGUGAAACAUUGGCUCAUUUGGCAUGAGUUAAUUUUCUACCUUCACAGAAGGGACGAUAAAGAGGCUAAGCCAAACUUCCUGUGGUAGGUAAGCCACAGUUGUACCCGUCUUUGUCCUCUUGAAGGAGAAGUAGGCUUUGAGUUUUACCGGCAUGAUUCUCCAGCACCGUCACCUUCCCCAGACCAUGGGCAGCUGAGGACAUUGGCUUCUGGAGACUCCUACCCUGGACAGACCUCACAUAGCGUCGUUUCUUAUCUGAGGUUGCUCCUUCCACCUCCGUGACUACUGAUCAACCAUAAUCCAAAAUAGUAAAUUUGUCUCCUCUCUUUCAAGAGAGAGCAGUUGUGUUCACAUACCUCUUGUUAUCUAACGCUGCUGCCACUGUUCAGCUUUAUUAUUAGUUUCUAUCUCUUACUGUACUGAAUUUAUAAACUAACAUUGUCAUAGGGUUGUGUGUAUAAAAAAAAUACCUGGUCUGUAUAGGGUUUAAUAUCAUCUGUUUCAGGAACUCACUGAAGGGUUUAGGAUGCACCACCUUUGGGAAAAGGGGCAUUGGUGUUUUGUGAAUUUGCAUUGUAAAUCAAAGCAGAACCAGCAUCCAAAGGCUCACACACACCUUAAGACACACAUAGCUUGCACAUAGUAGGCCUCUAUUCACUAGGCUAUAGCUGCAGCCCUUUCAGAAGCUUUGUUUUGAGGAAUCUGGGGAGAUAGUUUAGUUGGUCAAGUGCUUGGCCUGCAAGCCUGAAGCCCUGAGUUCAUUCCCUGGAACCCAUAUUUAAAAAACAAAACAGGCAUGGCAUGAUGACCACGUUUAUAAUCUGGAUGCUUGGCAAGUGAGGAAGACAGAUCCAUGGGCCUUAGUGGCCAGCAAAAUUAAGUUACCGGACAAGCUCCAGGCCAGCAGUGAGCCCUGUCUACAGAAGAAAAAAAAAGCAGAGGGGAGCCAGAGAGAUGUAGACAUGGAGUCCAGAAAUCAUCAGGGUCUCUCACCAAGACUGAGUCCUCUCAUGGAGUCCAGAAUUCAGCAGGGUCUCUCACCAAGAUUGAGUCCUUUCAUGGAGUCCAGAAAUCAGCAGGGUCUCUCACCAAGACUGAGUCUUCUGGAGACCUGAGUUCCUCACCUACAAGGUGGAGAUAACCAUCUGCAUUGCAGAGGACUGUUGCGAGCAUUAGAGAGCACAAAUAAGGAGCUGAUGAGAUGGCCUGGUGGGUAAGAGCACUGGCUGUUCUUCCAGAGGACCUGGGUUUGGCUCUCAGGAACCACAUCAGUCAUUUCACAACCAGCUAUAGCUCCAGUGGGUACCUGUCCUGUCCACAUGUAGUACACACACACACACACACACACACACACACACACACACACACACAAGUUAAUGGCAGAAUACUGGGGGGGGGGAGGUUAGUUAAUGCCAGAAUAUUUUUAGUUGCCUCAGAUAUGGAGCAGCACUUCUAAGUAUGGCAUUAAAACCCAGAGCAUGAAAACAAAAGGGAAUUCAUCUACAAAGUGUUACAAAUGACAGUUUGGAGGGAAAAUUUAAAAAAACAAACACUAGAGGGAAAAAUUUUCUAUUCAUAUCACAAAAAGUGUAUUUCUUUCCUUUUUUUCUAGGUUGGGGAGUUGGCCUAGGGCUUCCCUCAUGCUAGACAGGCACUUGAACACUGAGAUACACUCCUAGCUCCCCUUUCUUAUGACUGCUAAGAGAAAUCCAAAAUAUUGAUAAGAAAAAAGCCGACAAAUACAAAGGGCUCUUCACCACAAAAACAGAUGCCCAACUUCUGCUAACAGAGGCAAACAAACGCAUGAGCGACAUGUUUCAACACUCAGGUUGGGCGGACGGCAGACAGUCUGAGAGUACCUGUCGUCUGCUGUGCACUGUCUCAGGUGGGGAGGUGCAGAGGUUGCAGAGCCUUGAAUGUAGCAGAGCAUGGAAGGUCGAUUCAGCGACGGGACGCCAUGGUCUGUCUUGUGAGUGUUUUUAGGAAUGUCCCUGCAGGUGCACACCAGCAUGGGUAGAGAGGAAAGACAUCAAGGGUUGUAUUGGUUGGGCUCUUGUUUAAAGUAUUACACUAAGCUACGUAUGUACGAAGCCAUGAUAGGGCUAGUUAAAUUCUGGCACAUCCAUAUCAUGAAAGAGUUUAGCUGUUAAGCUAGGCAAGGGAGUUAAGGAUGGAUAAGAUUUGUCGAUAAAUCACAGUAAAGAUAAUGGUCACUGGGCUGGCUAACUUGUCUACAUCUGAAAUUAACUGAAACCCAUGGCUGGUCACACCUGUGAGGGAUUUUUGCUUCACUGAGUCAUUUGAAGUGAGGAGAGCCACUUCUGAUCCAGCUCUUUGAGGUGGGAGGACCUGCCUUUAAUCUGGGCCCCACCACCUGCUGGCGGCCUAGACAAAGGACCCAGGAGCAGGAAGAGUGCUCUGCCUGCUGGUUUUCAUUCUCCAUAGUCCGUUCCUUUGCUGGCAUUAGAGCCUACUUCUUCGGAUUCUGGCGUACACUGAAGAACAGUUGAGACAUCCAGUUGAGACAUCCAGCCUCGUGGACUGAAGAACUGCUGGGUUCUUGGACCUUCUGUUGACAGAAAGUUGGACCACAGCCUGUAAGUCAUUCUAAUACAACCCCACAUUGUGUG